rnacentral:snRNA from 1 species
UCCACUUUUCGGCCUUCUGGCUAAGAUCAAGUGUAGUAUCUGUUCUUAUCAGUUUAAAAUGAAAUAAUACACAAAGUAAAGUACCACUGGGAGGAUGGGUGCAAGGCGGUGUUUCUCCUAAGUGCUGACCAAGU